UGUCCCAGCCGCCGCGGUAAUACGUAGGGUGCGAGCGUUAAUCGGAAUUACUGGGCGUAAAGCGUGCGCAGGCGGUUUCGUAAGACAGAGGUGAAAUCCCCGGGCUCAACCUGGGAACUGCCUUUGUGACUGCGAGGCUAGAGUAUGGCAGAGGGGGGUGGAAUUCCACGUGUAGCAGUGAAAUGCGUAGAGAUGUGGAGGAACACCGAUGGCGAAGGCAGCCCCCUGGGCCAAUACUGACGCUCAUGCACGAAAGCGUGGGGAGCAAACAGGAUUAGAUACCCUGGUAGUCCACGCCCUAAACGAUGUCAACUAGGUGUUGGGAGGGUUAAACCUUUUAGUACCGUAGCUAACGCGUGAAGUUGACCGCCUGGGGAGUACGGCCGCAAGGUUAAAACUCAAAGGAAUUGACGGGGACCCGCACAAGCGGUGGAUGAUGUGGAUUAAUUCGAUGCAACGCGAAAAGACCUUACCUACCCUUGACAUGCCAGGAACUUGCCAGAGAUGGCUUGGUGCCCGAAAGGGAACCUGGACACAGGUGCUGCAUGGCUGUCGUCAUCUCGUGUCGUGAGAUGUUGGGUUAAGUCCCGCAACGAGCGCAACCCUU
rnacentral:rRNA from 1 species